GAUGGGCGUGGUGGCUCAUGCCUGUAAUCCCAACACUUUGGGAAUCCGAGCUGGGUGUAUCACCUGAGGUCAGGAACUCUAGCACAGCCUGACCAACAUGGUGAAACCCCAGCUCUA
rnacentral:SRP_RNA from 2 species